AGAGUUUGAUCCUGGCUCAGGAUGAACGCUGGCGGCGUGCCUAAUACAUGCAAGUCGAGCGAAGUUCUUCGGGACUUAGCGGCGAACGGGUGAGUAACACGUGGGCAACCUGCCCCUUAGAUUGGGAUAACUUCGGGAAACUGAAGCUAAUACCGAAUAAUCUUCUUUUUCACAUGGGAGAGAAGUAAAAGGCUUCGGCC
rnacentral:rRNA from 1 species